ACGCUGGCGGCAUGCCUUACACAUGCAAGUCGAACGGCAGCACGGGAGCAAUCCUGGUGGCGAGUGGCGAACGGGUGAGUAAUACAUCGGAACGUGCCCAAUCGUGGGGGAUAACGCAGCGAAAGCUGUGCUAAUACCGCAUACGAUCUACGGAUGAAAGCAGGGGACCGCAAGGCCUUGCGCGAAUGGAGCGGCCGAUGGCAGAUUAGGUAGUUGGUGGGGUAAAGGCUCACCAAGCCAACGAUCUGUAGCUGGUCUGAGAGGACGACCAGCCACACUGGGACUGAGACACGGCCCAGACUCCUACGGGAGGCAGCAGUGGGGAAUUUUGGACAAUGGGCGAAAGCCUGAUCCAGCAAUGCCGCGUGCAGGAUGAAGGCCUUCGGGUUGUAAACUGCUUUUGUACGGAACGAAAUGGUCUCUUCUAAUACAGAAGGCUAAUGACGGUACCGUAAGAAUAAGCACCGGCUAACUACGUGCCAGCAGCCGCGGUAAUACGUAGGGUGCAAGCGUUAAUCGGAAUUACUGGGCGUAAAGCGUGCGCAGGCGGUUAUGUAAGACAGUUGUGAAAUCCCCGGGCUCAACCUGGGAAUUGCAUCUGUGACUGCAUAGCUAGAGUACGGUAGAGGGGGAUGGAAUUCCGCGUGUAGCAGUGAAAUGCGUAGAUAUGCGGAGGAACACCGAUGGCGAAGGCAAUCCCCUGGACCUGUACUGACGCUCACGCACGAAAGCGUGGGGAGCAAAC
rnacentral:rRNA from 1 species